rnacentral:rRNA from 1 species
UACGGAGGAUCCGAGCGUUAUCCGGAUUUAUUGGGUUUAAAGGGUGCGCUGGCGGGAGAUUAAGUCGGCGGUGAAAUUUUGCAGCUCAACUGUAAAAGUGCCUUCGAAACUGGUUUCCUUGAGUGUGGAUGAAGUAGGCGGAAUUUGUGGUGUAGCGGUGAAAUGCAUAGAUAUCACGAGGAACUCCGAUUGCGCAGGCAGCUUACUAAACCAUAACUGACGCUCAGGCACGAAGGCGUGGGGAUCAAACAGGAUUAGAUACCCUGGUA